UACGGGGGGAGCAAGCGUUGUUCGGAUUUACUGGGCGUAAAGGGCGCGUAGGCGGCCACCGCAAGUCGACUGUGAAAUCUCCGGGCUUAACCCGGAAAGGUCAGCCGAUACUGCGGGGCUAGAGUGCAGAAGGGGCAACUGGAAUUCUCGGUGUAGCGGUGAAAUGCGUAGAUAUCGAGAGGAACACCUGCGGCGAAGGCGGGUUGCUGGGCU
rnacentral:rRNA from 1 species